GACUGUCUUGCCUGCUGUAAUAAGAUGAUUGAAUCGCCUAUAAUCCUUGCAGGUAUAGCCAUUUUGUGUUCAUCCUUGGCCAGUUUUCUAAUUUGGGUAGCUACCUAUUUGAUGAAACGUGCUUAUUCUGUUCACCAUUCAUUCGAUGACCAUACUAUGAUAAUUGCUAUUCUUGAGGGUUUCUUAAGCAUUAUCACUGCAUUUUGCUUCUUACUAUUUGCAGUAAUAGCCUGCUUCAUGAUGAUAUAUCAGAACGGUACUGUUCCUCCAUCAGCACCGGCUAACGGUAAGGUUGUGCCGUCUAUGACUUUGCCAACUGAUGAGGAAGGUCCAUCCUUGGAAUAAAUGCAGAUCAAUAGAAUUUCAGAAUUCAGUUUUUUUUUUAAGGUGAAUUUUAGGAUUUGGAUUCAUUUCAUAUGAAUUUUUGUUUUGAAUUUUGUUUAGAAUGUUGUGAUUGAUAUUUUGGGAUAAGAAUAUGUUUGUGAUUAAAUUUUAAUUAAUUUAGAGGCUUCGAUUGGUUUUCUUGUAAUUAUUUUUAAUUGGCCACGUGUAUUCAAAUGCUGGGAGAUGAA
rnacentral:lncRNA from 1 species